GACGAACGCUGGCGGCGUGCCUAAUACAUGCAAGUAGAACGAGUUGCGAACGGGUGAGUAACGCGUGGUAACCUUCCUCAUAGGGGGGGGAAACUAUUGGAAACGAUAGCUUAUACCGCCAACUUUUAGAUGGACCUGCGUUGUAUUAGCUAGUUGGUGGGGUAAAGGCUCACCAAGGCGACGAUACCUAGCCGACCUGAGAGGAUGAUCGGCCACACUGGGACGGAGACACGGUCCAGACUCCUACGGGAGGCAGCAGUGGGGAAUAUUGCACAAUGGGCGCAAGCCUGAUGCAGCCAUGCCGCGUGUAUGAAGAAGGCCUUCGGGUUGUAAAGUACUUUCAGCGGGGAGGCGUUACCCGCAGAAGAAGCACCGGCUAACUCCGUGCCAGCAGCCGCGGUAAUUC
rnacentral:rRNA from 1 species